AGUGACGGCGAGUGAAGUGGCAACAGCUCAAAUUUGAAAUCUGGCCCCCUCGGGGCCCGAGGGGUAAGUUGGAGAAGAGGCGGCGGGGGGGGCCCCGGUCGAAGGGCCGGGGAACAGGACGGAACAGAGGGGGAGAA
rnacentral:rRNA from 1 species